rnacentral:rRNA from 1 species
CCAAGGCGACGAUCAGUAGGGGAACUGAGAGGUUGAUCCCCCACACUGGCACUGAGAUACGGGCCAGACUCCUACGGGAGGCAGCAGUAGGGAAUAUUGGACAAUGGGUGAGAGCCUGAUCCAGCCAUGCCGCGUGCAGGAAGAAGGCCUUCUGGGUUGUAAACUGCUUUUGCCAGGGGAUAAAAGACCCUUGCGAGGGAAAUUGAAGGUACCUGGUGAAUAAGCCACGGCUAACUACGUGCCAGCAGCCGCGGUAAUACGUAGGUGGCAAGCGUUGUCCGGAUUUAUUGGGUUUAAAGGGUGCGUAGGCUGUUCCUUAAGUCAGUGGUGAAAUACAGCCGCUUAACGGUUGAGGUGCCAUUGAUACUGGGGAACUUGAGUACAGACGAGGUAGGCGGAAUUGACGGUGUAGCGGUGAAAUGCAUAGAUAUCGUCAAGAACACCGAUAGCGAAGGCAGCUUACUAGACUGUAACUGACGCUGAUGCACGAAAGUGUGGGGAUCAAACAGGAUUAGAUACCCUGGUAGUCCACACUGUAAACGAUGAUUACUCGAUGUUGGCGAUACACAGCCAGCGUCUUAGCAAAAGCGAUAAGUAAUCCACCUGGGGAGUACGCCGGCAACGGUGAAACUCAAAGGAAUUGACGG